CAGCAGCCGCGGUAAUACGUAGGUGGCAAGCGUUGUCCGGAAUUAUUGGGCGUAAAGGGCUCGCAGGCGGUUUCUUAAGUCUGAUGUGAAAGCCCCCGGCUCAACCGGGGAGGGUCAUUGGAAACUGGGAAACUUGAGUGCAGAAGAGGAGAGUGGAAUUCCACGUGUAGCGGUGAAAUGCGUAGAGAUGUGGAGGAACACCAGUGGCGAAGGCGACUCUCUGGUCUGUAACUGACGCUGAGGAGCGAAAGCGUGGGGAGCGAACAGGAUUAGAUACCCCCGUAGUCCCUGUCUCUUAACA
rnacentral:rRNA from 1 species